AGAGGCAGGUGGAUCUCUGUGAGUUCGAGGCCAGCCUGGUCAAACAGAGUGAGUUCUAGGGCAGCCAAGGCUACACACAGAAACCCUGUCUCAAAAG
rnacentral:miRNA from 1 species